UACGGAGGGGGCUAGCGUUGUUCGGAAUUACUGGGCGUAAAGCGCGCGUAGGCGGCUUUGUAAGUUAGAGGUGAAAGCCUGGAGCUCAACUCCAGAACUGCCUUUAAGACUGCAUCGCUAGAAUCGUGGAGAGGUGAGUGGAAUUCCGAGUGUAGAGGUGAAAUUCGUAGAUAUUCGGAAGAACACCAGUGGCGAAGGCGACUCACUGGACACGUAUUGACGCUGAGGUGCGAAAGCGAUGGG
rnacentral:rRNA from 1 species